rnacentral:rRNA from 1 species
UACGUAGGUGGCAAGCGUUGUCCGGAUUUAUUGGGUUUAAAGGGUGCGUAGGCGGCCCUGUAAGUCAGUGCUGAAAUAUCCCAGCUUAACUGGGAGGGUGGCAUUGAUACUGCGGGGCUAGAGUACAGAUGAGGUAGGCGGAAUUGACGGUGUAGCGGUGAAAUGCUUAGAUAUCGUCAAGAACACCUAUAGCGAAGGCAGCUUACUAGGCUGUAACUGACGCUGAGGCACAAAAGUGUGGGGAUCAAACAGG